GGAGCGGAAGGAUGGGGAAAGGGGGGUGGCAGGAAAUCGCAUAAUAAAUCGUAGCUUUUUGCAAAGCUCUCUCUCUCUCUCUCUCGCUCCUUCUCGUCCCGCUGUUAACGCUUCAACAUUUCCUUGGUUCUUUUAAAUAAAAUGCUCAUCCCUAACCGACUGUGUCCCAGGUCUUGCAUCCCGUUCUAGAACUUCCCAAAGGUCCUCUUUUGUUCCGUCCAUUUCGACUAGGCGCGAUGCGCGUCUUCAGACUUCAUUCAUUGAUAUUUGCCAAACGAGACACAUGCAGCAGUGGGCAGCAGCGUGCGCGUAACAACGGAAUCGUAGCAAAAGAAUAAAAGCAAAAA